UACGUAGGUGGCAAGCGUUGUCCGGAAUUAUUGGGCGUAAAGCGCGCGUAGGCGGCUUUGCAAGUCGGGUGUGAAAUCCCCAGGCUUAACCUGGGAACUGCAUUCGAGACUGCAUUGCUAGAGUAUGGGAGAGGGAAGUGGAAUUUCCGGUGUAGCGGUGAAAUGCGUAGAUAUCGGAAGGAACAUCAGUGGCGAAAGCGACUUCCUGGACCAAUACUGACGCUCAUGUGCGAAAGCGUGGGGAGCAAACAGG
rnacentral:rRNA from 1 species